CGGGGUGAGUAACGCGUGGGUAACCUGCCUCAUACAGGGGGAUAACAGUUAGAAAUGACUGCUAAUACCGCAUAAGACCACAGUACUGCAUGGUACAGUGGUAAAAACUCCGGUGGUAUGAGAUGGACCCGCGUCUGAUUAGGUAGUUGGCGAGGUAACGGCCCACCAAGCCGACGAUCAGUAGCCGACCUGAGAGGGUGACCGGCCACAUUGGGACUGAGACACGGCCCAG
rnacentral:rRNA from 1 species